GGCGGCGUGCUUAACACAUGCAAGUCGAACGAUGAACCACUUCGGUGGGGAUUAGUGGCGAACGGGUGAGUAACACGUGGGCAAUCUGCCCUGCACUCUGGGACAAGCCCUGGAAACGGGGUCUAAUACCGGAUACUGAGCCGCUUGGGCAUCCAAGUGGUUCGAAAGCUCCGGCGGUGCAGGAUGAGCCCGCGGCCUAUCAGCUUGUUGGUGAGGUAAUGGCUCACCAAGGCGACGACGGGUAGCCGGCCUGAGAGGGCGACCGGCCACACUGGGACUGAGACACGGCCCAGACUCCUACGGGAGGCAGCAGUGGGGAAUAUUGCACAAUGGGCGAAAGCCUGAUGCAGCGACGCCGCGUGAGGGAUGACGGCCUUCGGGUUGUAAACCUCUUUCAGCAGGGAAGAAGCGAAAGUGACGGUACCUGCAGAAGAAGCGCCGGCUAACUACGUGCCAGCAGCCGCGGUAAUACGUAGGGCGCAAGCGUUGUCCGGAAUUAUUGGGCGUAAAGAGCUCGUAGGCGGCUUGUCACGUCGGUUGUGAAAGCCCGGGGCUUAACCCCGGGUCUGCAGUCGAUACGGGCAGGCUAGAGCGCGGUAGGGGAGAUCGGAAUUCCUGGUGUAGCGGUGAAAUGCGCAGAUAUCAGGAGGAACGCCGGUGGCGAAGGCGGAUCUCUGGGCCGAUACUGACGCUGAGGAGCGAAAGCGUGGGGAGCGAACAGGAUUAGAUACCCUGGUAGUCCACGCCGUAAACGGUGGGCACUAGGUGUGGGCAACAUUCCACGUUGUCCGUGCCGCAGCUAACGCAUUAAGUGCCCCGCCUGGGGAGUACGGCCGC
rnacentral:rRNA from 1 species